UACAGAGGGUGCGAGCGUUAAUCGGAAUUACUGGGCGUAAAGCGCGCGUAGGCGGUUCGUUAAGUCGGAUGUGAAAUCCCUGAGCUCAACUUAGGAAUUGCAUUCGAUACUGGCGAACUAGAGUAUGGGAGAGGAAGGUAGAAUUCCAGGUGUAGCGGUGAAAUGCGUAGAGAUCUGGAGGAAUACCGAUGGCGAAGGCAGCCUUCUGGCCUAAUACUGACGCUGAGGUGCGAAAGCAUGGGGAGCAAACAGG
rnacentral:rRNA from 1 species